rnacentral:rRNA from 1 species
AUUGAACGCUGGCGGCAGGCCUAACACAUGCAAGUCGAGCGGAUGAAGGGAGCUUGCUCCUGGAUUCAGCGGCGGACGGGUGAGUAAUGCCUAGGAAUCUGCCUGGUAGUGGGGGAUAACGUCCGGAAACGGGCGCUAAUACCGCAUACGUCCUGAGGGAGAAAGUGGGGGAUCUUCGGACCUCACGCUAUCGGAUGAUCCUAGGUGGGAUUAGCUAGUUGGUGGGGUAAAGGCCUACCAAGGCGACGAUCCGUAACUGCUCUGAGCGGAUGAUCAGUCACACUGAAACUGAGACACGGUCCAGACUCCUACGGGAGGCAGCAGUGGGGAAUAUUGGACAAUGGGCGAAAGCCUGAUCCAGCCAUGCCGCGUGGGUGAAGAAGGUCUUCGGAUUGUAAAGCACUUUAGGUUGGGAGGAAGGGCAGUAAGUUAAUACCUUGCUGUUUUGACGUUACCAACAGAAUAAGCACCGGCUAACUUCGUG